rnacentral:rRNA from 1 species
AUGAACGCUAGCUACAGGCUUAACACAUGCAAGUCGAGGGGCAUCAGGGUGUAGCAAUACACCGCUGGCGACCGGCGCACGGGUGAGUAACACGUAUCCAACCUGCCCUUUACUCGGGGAUAGCCUUUCGAAAGAAAGAUUAAUACCCGAUGGCAUAACAUGACCUCCUGGUUUUGUUAUUAAAGAAUUUCGGUAGAGGAUGGGGAUGCGUUCCAUUAGGCAGUUGGCGGGGUAACGGCCCACCAAACCUUCGAUGGAUAGGGGUUCUGAGAGGAAGGUCCCCCACAUUGGAACUGAGACACGGUCCAAACUCCUACGGGAGGCAGCAGUGAGGAAUAUUGGUCAAUGGGCGAGAGCCUGAACCAGCCAAGUAGCGUGAAGGAUGACCGCCCUAUGGGUUGUAAACUUCUUUUAUAUGGGAAUAAAGUCUGCCACGUGUGGCAUUUUGUAUGUACCAUAUGAAUAAGGAUCGGCUAACUCCGUGCCAGCAGCCGCGGUAAUACGGAGGAUCCGAGCGUUAUCCGGAUUUAUUGGGUUUAAAGGGAGCGUAGGUGGACAUGUAAGUCAGUUGUGAAAGUUUGCGGCUCAACCGUAAAAUUGCAGUUGAUACUGCGUGUCUUGAGUACAGUAGAGGUGGGCGGAAUUCGUGGUGUAGCGGUGAAAUGCUUAGAUAUCACGAAGAACUCCGAUUGCGAAGGCAGCUCACUGGACUGCAACUGACACUGAUGCUCGAAAGUGUGGGUAUCAAACAGGAUUAGAUACCCUGGUAGUCCACACAGUAAACGAUGAAUACUCGCUGUUUGCGAUAUACAGUAAGCGGCCAAGCGAAAGCAUUAAGUAUUCCACCUGGGGAGUACGCCGGCAACGGUGAAACUCAAAGGAAUUGACGGGGGCCCGCACAAGCAGUGGAGUAUGUGGUUUAAUUCGAAGCAACGCGAAGAACCUUACCAGGGCUUGACAUAUAGAUGAAUAACUAAGAGAUUAGUUAGUCCUUCGGGACAUCUAUACAGGUGGUGCAUGGUUGUCGUCAGCUCGUGUCGUGAGAUGUUGGGUUAAGUCCCGCAACGAGCGCAACCCUUAUCUUCAGUUACUAACAGGUCAUGCUGAGGACUCUGGAGAGACUGCCGUCGUAAGAUGUGAGGAAGGUGGGGAUGACGUCAAAUCAGCACGGCCCUUACGUCCGGGGCUACACACGUGUUACAAUGGGGGGUACAGAAGGCCGCUACACAGCGAUGUGAUGCCAAUCCCUAAAGCCCCUCUCAGUUCGGAUCGAAGUCUGCAACCCGACUUCGUGAAGCUGGAUUCGCUAGUAAUCGCGCAUCAGCCACGGCGCGGUGAAUACGUUCCCGGGCCUUGUACACACCGCCCGUCAAGCCAUGGGAGCCGGGGGUACCUGAAGUACGUAACCGCAAGGAGCGUCCUAGGGUAAAACUGGUGACUGGGGCU